AAAAUUUUCAAAAAUCCUUCCAACACCUAAUCGCUUAGUUAAAUUGGUGAAGAUUAGUGGGAGUUAGAAGCUUUGAUUUUUCUUCGCUCCAUUUUUCGCUGCCUCCAUUUUCUUGUUCUUGUACUUACGAAUUUUAAAUAAUUAUAAAUCCUGAUUUGUGUAAAUUGCCUAUUGCCAGGUAAUUGUUCAACCCAGAAGAUUUGAUAGAAAGACCCAAU
rnacentral:lncRNA from 1 species